rnacentral:snRNA from 1 species
AGCUUUGUACAGUGGCAGUAUUGGGUUUUUCCAGGGGUGAUUAUUGCUAAUUAACAACUUCUCCCAAUAUCCCAUUAUGACGACUUGAAAUAUAGUUGGCAUUGGCAAUUUUUGGCAGUCUCCACGAGG